rnacentral:rRNA from 1 species
CCUACGGGAGACUGCAGUGAGGAAUAUUGGUCAAUGGACGCAAGUCUGAACCAGCCAUGCCGCGUGCAGGAAGACGGCUCUAUGAGUUGUAAAUUGCUUUUGUACGAGGGUAAACGCAGAUACGCGUCUCUGUCUGAAAGUAUCGUACGAAUAAGGAUCGGCUAACUCCGUGCCAGCAGCCGCGGUAAUACGGAGGGUUCAAGCGUUAUCCGGAUUUAUUGGGUUUAAGGGGUGCGUAGGCGGUUGGAUAAGUGAGAGGUGAAAUCCGGAGGCUCAACUUCGGAAUUGCCUCUGAUACUGUUAGACUAGAGAGUAGUAGCGGUAGGCGGAAUGUAUGGUGUAGCGGUGAAAUGCUUAGAGAUCA